GCACAGUGCGGUGCAUUUCAAAU
rnacentral:siRNA from 1 species